rnacentral:rRNA from 1 species
UACGGGGGUGGCAAGCGUUGUUCGGAAUUACUGGGCGUAAAGGGCGCGUAGGCGGCGCGACAAGUCAGAUGUGAAAGCCCCGGGCUCAACUCGGGAAUUGCAUCUGAAACUGUCAUGCUUGAGUUCUGGAGGGGGUAGUGGAAUUCCCAGUGUAGCGGUGAAAUGCGUAGAUAUUGGGAGGAACACCUGCAGCGAAGGCGGCUACCUGGACAGUAACUGACGCUGAGGCGCGAAAGCUAGGGGAG